rnacentral:rRNA from 1 species
GGGGGAUAACUAAUCGAAAGAUUAGCUAAUACCGCAUUUUUUCUGAGGAAGAAAGCAGGGGACCAUUUGGCCUUGCGCUGUUUGAGCGGCCGAUAUCUGAUUAGCUAGUUGGUGGGGUAAAGGCCUACCAAGGCGACGAUCAGUAGCGGGUCUGAGAGGAUGAUCCGCCACACUGGGACUGAGACACGGCCCAGACUCCUACGGGAGGCAGCAGUGGGGAAUUUUGGACAAUGGGCGCAAGCCUGAUCCAGCCAUGCCGCGUGUCUGAAGAAGGCCUUCGGGUUGUAAAGGACUUUUGUCAGGGAAGAAAAGGAUAGGGUUAAUACCCCUGUCUGAUGACG